CCUACGGGAGGCAGCAGUGGGGAAUCUUAGACAAUGGGCGCAAGCCUGAUCUAGCCAUGCCGCGUGUGUGAAGAAGGUCUUCGGAUUGUAAAGCACUUUAAGUUGGGAGGAAGGGUUGUAGAUUAAUACUCUGCAAUUUUGACGUUACCGACAGAAUAAGCACCGGCCAACUACGUG
rnacentral:rRNA from 1 species